ensembl:lncRNA
AAUCUGAUCUUGCUCCUUUCCUCCCAAAUGCCACGCAGUCAUCUCAAUUCACUUCAUCUGCGGCAGUGACUUACCUUCUUUCUUGCUAACUCUGCAUUCCAGCAAAAAAAUUGAAAUGAAAGGAGAAGCUUAUGAAUCCAGACUGAUGCAAAGGUAACUGCUACCCUUCAAUAUUCGACCCUAUCUUCUGUCUGAAGACUCUUACUAAUUGUUGGAGACUCAUUUACCAGCAAAGGACACAGGUCCCAUGGUAUUCAUGCAAGCCACUUACAACAUCAGUCUCCCUGCUCUUGCAAGUGAACCUACUUGUAAGGACAUUUCCUUGGGGCUAAUGGCUUUAUGAAUGUUGACAUCUGUUGCAUGCAGUAAAUUGAAGUGUUUUCCAACUUGUAGGAUGUGCUUCACUAGUGAGAUGAAGGAACUAAAAGUAUUUUCCAGCAAGACCACUUCUGGUGCAUCAGUUCCAAGUUCUUCUGGCAGGAAAGAUCUUCCUGUGGUCACACAGCAUCUGACAUCUUCCCCAUCAUGUGCCCCAUGUUACAAAGCCCACUGCAUUGAAGAUGAAACCACAGGGAUUAGUCCUGAUUGUACAAUGCCAUGUGAACACGAAGGAUGUUUAUAGUUUAAAAAAUAUUUCCUCUUUCUCCCGGGCUACAUUUUUCAGACCAAUCCUGACCUGUUUUGUAAAAGAAGAUAUAUUCAGUAAGACCACAGACCAUCCACAGAGCUUUUUGGUCUCCAACAAUCUCCAGUUAAUGACUGUCUGUUGGGAAAAAGCAUAAAAAGGAAAAUGUACACUGAUGUUCCCACAUUUUAGCUUUCCAGCUUCCUACAAUCUGUGGCUAUGCAGUUUCCUGACCUGGGGGUUAUUUCUUUGUCUAUCACUCUGUGGUGGAUUUUCCUUCCAUGUUUUUAUCUAAUUGCUUUUUGAACCCGUGAAAACUUAUGACACUCACAACAUCCCAUGGCAAUGAGUUUCAUAGUUUAAUUACGUGCUUCAUGAAAAAGUGUUUUCCUUUAAUCAUUUUGAACCCACCUUCAUUUGAUACCUCCAAGAUUUUGUAUUACAAGAAAUUGCUCUUUCUUCACUCUUUCCAUGUUUGUCAUGAUUUCAUUGGCAUCUGUCACAUCCUUGAAAAAUUACUUUCCUUGCUGAAGAGACUCAUUUUAG